UCGGUGCUUGGGCUCUCGCUUUGCGACCCCUCACCCCAACCCUCUGUUUACCUACCAUAUUCUUCGGCGAGUGCGUGCUGUUUGUUGGUGGGAGGUACCCCUUUAUGUGGUGCCAACCCCUGCAAACGGUGCCCCGCCGGCGUUCAAAAACCUGCCUUUUUAACGGUGAAGUCUGAGCGUUUGCAAAACAAAAUUAUAA
rnacentral:misc_RNA from 1 species